UGCGCCUGCGCUCUUCAGAGCUACUUGGGUAGACUUUCUCGCGAUAUCUGUAUUCAAGGCUGCUUUCUUUAAACGCUGUCUGUCUUUGUCGACAGUUGAGGAGACCGGAGUCUGAGAGAAAUUCAAAGUCUGGGAGCUGCUCUUUGCGUGGGAGAAGGCAUGCUUGCAACGUCAUCAGUCAUCCCCGUUCUAUUAGUGACGUCAGCACUCCUUCCCUAGUCGUCAGUGUCCACUUUGACGCACGGGCGCAGCGAGGCCCAGAAAGGCAGGAAGCACAGCCCGACAGGCUGCCCUGCCUGGGCAAAGUCUCUUUGCAUCACAAUGCUUGAGUGUUGGAAUUGGGUGCGCACAGCGGGUCCCUCGCGGUUAAAGCGUGUGGCCUGUCCGAGGAGGCAGCACCUCCGCGGAGGGUUUGCCGCUUCGGUGCUCCUGGAGCGUCUGCCCGCGACUAAGCGACCUUGCCCGAGGCAUCCCGGCGGUGCAGGGGCUUCUCGGAUCUCUACGAGCGUGGGAAACAGCUAGUGAUCUUGUCAGCGCACACAUUCUGGUCCAGUACGUCUGGUGAGGUAGAUCUGAGCGUCUUUAGUUCUCGAGGGCUCCCAGGAGAUGCUGUCAGUGCUUUGACUAGCGAGGGGACAGAAAGAGCCAGGGUGCGGAGCCUCUCCAGCUCUUUACUAUGAUCUGACUAAACCUAGUAGCAACUGAAACCACUGAACGCAGCUGUAUUCCUCAUGAUUUUUUUUUUUUUUUUUUUUUUUUUUUUGGCUUUUUGAGACAGGGUCUCACUAUGCAGUUCAGGCUGGCCUUGAGCUCACUUUGUAGCCCAGGCUGGUCUCAAACUCCCAACGAUCCUCCUGCCUCAGCCUCCCAAGUGCUGGGAUUAAGGGCAUGAGCCACCACGCCCGGCCCUCAUGGAAUUUAUAGUAUGUGAUAAAGAUUUCGUUAAGAAAUUAAAAAUUUUAUCCGGGCGUGGUGGCGCACUCCUGAAAUCCCAGUGCUUGGGAGACUGAGGCAGGAGAAUCAUGUGAAAGUUCGAGACCAGCCUGGGCUACUAAGUGAGCCCAAGGCCAGCCUGAACCGCAUAGUGAGACCUUGUCUCAAGACAAAAAAGACAAAAGAAAAUCAAAGAUUUUAAAAAGUUAAUUUUGCCUUGGCAGUUAUAGGGCUAUCUUAGUUUGUAAUCUGUAUUUGGCUCUGAUAACUCGCCAACUCUCAACCCCCAACUUCCUGUAUGGGUGAAAGGAUGAAAUAACAAGCAGACAAAUUUAAUAAUACAUGAAGAGGGGAUAGAAGGACCAAGACACCCCAAGCAAUGUCAGGAGGGAAUAGUGGAAAAUUCAGAGGUCUAUGGCUCAGUGGGCAACUGGUAAUUUGGGAUGAUUUUAUGCUAAGAAGGAUCUUGCCCUGGAGUGUUUUUUAAUCUUAAUGGUUUUAGUUUACUCUUAGUGGGUGUGGGAGAGGAUGGCCCUUACCUAAAGCGUUAAGGGGAAAUCUUAAAAGGGUGAUAAUCAUUAAUCCCAAUCCUCCAUUUAUCCCUGAGGGAAGUGUACAAAAUUAGCCCUUGUGAAUUUGUGGUUUCCAACAGCCAGUGGUAGGCAUCUUUAUAAAUCUUUGUGUCAUCAGCAAGCCCAAUUUACACACUUUUUUUCAAAUGUACCAAAAAAUUUUAUGGAUUAAAUUCAACAUUGAGUUUGAUAAUAGUGUAUUCUGUAGAUAUUUUAACAAGUACUGUUUUUGGUUUUUAUGUUUAUACUGUGCAUCCCAUUCUUUUUGAUUUUUUCAAGUUAUAUGUUAUUGGCUUAGUAAAAAAUUGAACACAAUUUUAAAACAAUAAGGAGGAUGGUUAAAACUUAUUUUUGUUUCAUGAUAAACUAUGCAACCAUUAACUUAUUUUGCAAUAUUCAAAAGAAUUUACAUUUUCAUCAUAUUAUGUUAAUAAAUGAAUUUUUAUUUUCAAAGCUAAUGUACACUGUGAUCCUGAUCUUAGGAGCGUGUCUCUUUUUUUUUGUCAACAAAAAGCAAUCUCUGAGUAAUAAUGAUAUAGGGGAAUAAAAUUCCCAACCUACUAUAUGUCCAGUAUGAGUUGGUGUUCUUUAAAAUAGAAAAAUGAAUUUUAGGAACAACGGAGGCUAAGAGCAGAAGUAUUUUUUUUAAGAGCAGAAAUAUUUGAGGGAAAAAAAGUUGUUAGAGACGGGAGUCCCGAGUGGAUUGCCAAAGAGUCUACAUUUUCUAGGGAUUUUUCUAGAGUAUAACCAUGAGGCCGCUCUAAAGUGGGGAAAACUAGGAACUCACAAGGCAGCUGGGCAUAAGGUGGGAUAGAACUGUGAUGAACCAAUCAGAUUAAUUGUUCAGGUAGAAUUGUCCAAAGGGGAAGCAAAUCAUGUAGCAAGCCAGCAUUCUUAAGGAUCAGUCGCUCUUCCUGUAGAGGGGUGAGAAGGUGGCUCCUGGCUUCUCAAGGUGAUCCAUACCUAAUCCCUAAAGUUUAUACUUAGGGUGUGGUUGCAUUUGUUUUGCUUUCUUUUUGAGAUCUGGCCCACAGCAAGAGGUGUGUGUCCCCUCCAAGGUCAUCAGACAUGUGGUCCUCUGUGCUGGCUUCUCUGAGGGCCUAGCCCUGUCUGACUGCCUAUAAUAUUUCUAACUAGCUCAGCUGCCUCUAACAGUAAGAUGAAGUGAAUAAACAUUUGCUUUUUAGUUUUCCUUAUUUUCCUAUUUUUUCUUUCUGAUUUUUAAAAUUAAGUAUAGUUUUAUUCAGCUUUUGCACAUACAUAAUCUUUAAAGUUUGUCUCAUUGUAUGAUCUACCUAUCUCUGCAAGAAGGGAUUUCUUUGAGGAUGCCUCUUGAGAAGUGAGUCCCUGGAUGCUUGCUGAUGAUGUUUAGUGAGCACAUGUGUUGGGAACUGUGGAGAACCACCCAGAGAACUCCCCUUGAAAGAAGAACACCUAUAUUUUUGGAUGUACUUGGCCAUAUCCCUAUGUGUUGAUAUGUACAGAGCUGGCUAGGCUAUUUCUUUGUCUCUUCAGUUGGCUUUAAACAGUGUAAACUGUGCGAGCUGAGGUACUGAUGUGUCGUCCUUGACAGUUGCUGUUCCCCCCACCCAGUAGCUGCCAGAAAAAUAUGGUUGAGCCGGGCUAGAUGGAGAACUGUGCUCCAUGUUGUAGGCUGGGAGCCUCGAGAAAGAGGCUAUGAUUUCCCAGAGCAAAAAAGACUUCGCUCGACCCCAAAAUAUUAAAUGCUGCCUCAGCUAUGUUACGCAGAUUACUCUUUUUCUGCAUUUGUCUCAGGCCUCCUACAUAACCCAGCUCACAGUAGUCAUGUGUUUCUUCCACCCUCACUGUCACUCAUCCCUGAACCAUUCCACUCAUGGAGAAUUAAUAAAAUCCAGGUGGGAUCCUGGGUCAUGGUCUUUGUUCCAGUGAACCACUGUCUUGGCUGGAUUUAGGACCCCCUUUGCUCCCGGUAACUAUGUAUGUGUUAAUGUCUUUAUUCUCACCUUGGAUGACACUAAAAGUGGUAGAUUGGAAUUAGCGCAAUAGAUUUACAAUGACUUCUCCAUGGGAUUACAAAUAUAAACCUCCCUGACCUGUGAUGAGGAUGGGAAAGGGACCUCUGUAGAGAACAACUGGUAAAAUGGCAAGGAAGAGUGAACCAGAACCAGGAAGAGGGCCGUGGCUGCUAGAGGAUCCCAGAACCAAAGGCAGCAGCCUGGUACCCCGGCCCCCAGAAGCUACUUGUGGAGGGAACCUGGUAGGGUCUGGUCGCCAGCAGUCACACAGGACCUAGACUGACCCCUGAGUUCUGGAGAAACUGGGCUUACACAGAGUUCAUACAUUCCUUCAGCCCUAAGGGCUUUUUGAUUUUUUUCAUAUCCAAUUGCUUUUACAUGCUGUUUUUUUAAAAAAAUAUAUUGUUUUUAAUAUAAAUGACGGAAAUGUGGGAAAACAUAGAUCAUUCCUUCCACAAUUUUAAAUUUUAAAACAUGAAUUUCUGUUCUGGUUUUGUUCGUCUGUUCUUUUUGAGACAGGGUCUCGCUAUAUAGUCUGCUGACCUCCACCUCACUAUGCAUCCCAAUCUAGCCUUGAACUUGCAAUGAUCCUCCUGCCUCAGCCUCCAGAGUGUUGGAAUUAUGGGUGUGUGUCACCAUGCCUAGCUGUGUUCCUUUUUGCAUUGUUCCAUUGAAUGCCUGUCCCUGGCCCUAGUUUUCAGCCCCCUAGUGGGGAUGAUAGACUUCAUCAUUCCCAGCCUGCUCUCCCCUGGACAGUGAUCCUGUCUCUUAUGCUCAGAGUUCUCACAUGUUUACCUGCCUCCUCAGUGCCUGAUGCCCUCGUUGCUUAACACACUUGUUGAAUAAAUGAAUGAGCUGCCUCUAAUGUGCUUCUCCAACAACCUGAUCACAGCUCCACAUUAGCUGGUACAUCUCUGCCUAGAAUACCCUGCCUUUCUUACUCGACUCACUCCCGCCUGUCUGCAAGAUUCAUCUCAGGUGUCAUCUCUAACAAGUCUCUCUUGACAUCUUUCCCUGCUUAUCCCUCUGGGUCCUUUCCUUUGUUCCCAUCACUUGUAUGGCUUUAUCCCAGCACUUGUCACAUUAUAGAAAAAUUACCUGUUUGUCUUUGCCUCCCUCACUGUCUAUGAGCUCCUCAAAGGUGAGCGUUCUGUCUGAUCAUCUCUAUUUCACCAGCAUCAGGCUCAGCUCCAGCCGACAGAACUGUUUUAGCCCUUAGGCAAUGUAGGAAAAAUGACUAGUGCUGACAGGCUUUUAAAACGCUUAUCAAAAUGUUUGAGGCGUAAAACAAUGUUGUUGACUCCAAAAUAUUUUUAUUUGCAAAAUCAAAGCUAACAAUGUGUAAUGAAGUAACUCCAAAAUAUUGUAGUGUCAAUGUCAUUAAUUAUUAAAGUUAGUAUUGAUGUACAGUUUGUUUCUUUCUAAAACAAUUUGUAGGUCAGACUUUCUCAGUUUGCGGAAUUCCUCUCAGCAUGCAGGAUGAUUUCUGAAAAUUCCCAGUCAAUUGUUAAUUCAUGUCAUUAUUUGUGUGCUCAGUAUUUUCCAAAGCAAAGUUAGAAGUCCUUUUAAAAAUCUUUCACGGUAAGACAACAAUGUGAAAAGCAGAUGUACGUUAGGGAUAUUGCCAAAAAUAGGAGUGUGUAGUACAUUUUCUGUUCUUCUGGUGGAGAAGGCCAAACUCCAAAACCUUCUAUGCCCUGGGCACAUUUGGGGCAUGUGUUUUUUGGUUUACCAUGGUCCCGUUCAGGACCUAGAGUUUUAUAUCCAACUAGCCUUAUUCAUUUACUUGCUGGACCUUGCAAGAUUGUUGAGUUUAUAACUCCUGACCCUGGACUCAGAGCUGGAAGAAGGAUUUGAGGUGACCAGAAGCAGUCUCCCUCUUGAGAAGAAAAUGAUGUAGUCCAUAAAGGAGAAAACAGUAGACUUAUUGAACUACGUACAAAGCUAAUUAAUAGCAAAGCCAAUACUAGUGUUCAGGUCUCCUAUUUAGGUAGCUUUCAGGAAACAAAUUGCAGACAUAGGCCAAUGGAUUUUUAAUUUGUUUCAUAAUCAUCUGUUAAGAGAAUAGGCCUUUCAGUUGUCACCAGAUUCUAAAUCAGUACCUCUGGAAUACUACAAAGGACUCUGCAUUUUUGAUGAGGUCAUUCAUUUCUGAGGACCUUGACCUUAGGACAGUGGUCUCCAAGACAGUCCACUGGAUACAGGAAGAACUAUAUCUUUUUAAAAUAAGGGCAAAGAUGAGCUCCCAUGACACCUACUAUAUGAAUUCACCCAUGCCCUUCCCACUGGAUAUUUAAUUAAAAGAAAUGGGGAUCCCCAAAUGUCACUGGCUUACAAGGCAGGCUGCCAAAUAAAAUUUAGACAAUAAGUUAAAUUUGAAUUUCAGUUCAACAGUAAAAAAAAUUGAAGGUGAGAAUGUUCCAAAUGUUUAGCAUACGUAUGUACCAUGCCACAUUUGAAACACACUGGUUCAUGCUGUUUUUCAGGACUACUACGGUGUGGAUGUAAAAUGUCCUCCAGAAGUCAUGCACUGAGGGAUUGGUUGCCAGUUGAGGGCCUUUUAGAAGCUGAUUUGAUUAUGAAGACUCUAAUCUCAAUGGGUUAAUCCACUGAUGGAUUCAUAAGUUGAUGGUUUUAUUGGGAGAUGAUGGAAAUUUAGGAGACAGGGCCAAUUUUAAGGGAAUAGGUCAUAAAAAUAUAACUGGGGACUAUAAACCUUGUCCUGACCUUUUUCUCUCUAGUUCUGUGCCCUCUCACCUCUGCUUCCUAACUACCAAGAGGUGAGUAGUUUGACCUCUGCCAUGCCUUACACCAAUAGCCCAGCAACAGUGGAGCCAGCCAACCAUAUACUGAAAUCUCUGAGCCAAAAUAAACGUUUCUUCAGGUAUUUUGUCACAGUAAUGGGAAGCUGACUACAACACAGGGACCGUAGCUGAUGAAGUGGCCUUGAGCUGGAACACUAUGACAGUAGUGGCAAUGGGCACUGUAAACCCUACUCUAAAGCUUUGGGUCAGAAGUGACAGGCAUCACUGCUACUUUUUUUCUUCUUUUCUUUUUUAUCAAAUACAGAACAUCAUGGCCAAAUGUGCAUCAGUGAGACAGGGAAAACCAAUGUUCCUCAAAGGAGAACUUUGGUUAGAGUUUGCCUAAGCAAAAGUGGUGUGAAUAGCCUAUCAGACACCAUUCAGAGGGUUAAAUCUGGUGACAAGAAAAGGCCUUUAGGAGCAUCCUUUUGGAUUUUUGUACCAAGAUGAGGAGUAACCUUGAUUACCUCAUGAACCACACAGAGGUCACACAUCCUUAGUUCCAAAGCAUUACAAAGUGUUCUUAUGUUUAAAUUUGGGCUACUUUUUAAAAAUAGUAUUUUUACAUUUUCUUAUCUUGUUAGUGAUGACCAGUUGACAUUAGGAUGCUACUUAAGAUAGUUUCAUAAAAACAAUCUGUUCCUUUCCAGACAAAAUUGAUGUUUUAACAAUGAAGGAGAAAUUAUUUGAUUCUGAAAACAAUCUGAUCUUAUGAAGGGUACAUCUUUGAGAAUAUGCCUUUGUUACAUUGUGAUUUUUGUUGCCCCAAAAUAUAUGUAUUACAUAUAAUAACUCAUGUCUGUAUACUAAACUUACAGAGUGAAAUUCCUCACCUCUGUGAGAAAUCUUCUCAAUGGAGAAUUGGAGUUUUAAACAUACGGAGGAGUUCAUAGCAGGACAGUGGUGCAACCCUGGCUUGGUUAGGGUGGCAUGCUAAGGGAAGGGAUGCCAGCUGCACUGCCAGAGUUUCUAAAAAAUCUCACUACACUUAAUUGUAUUCUUUGAUACUAUACUCAGAACACCCAGACCACUCUCCUCUAUAGGUGCCAAUUUACUUGUUUACUCCCAAAAUAUGCCUGCAAGACCCACUCUUCCAGGGCAGCCAAUAGAUCUUUCCCCAUCUCCUGUUACACAUCCUGCUUUUAUUUUUGUUCCAUGACAACAGUUUACUGCCCUUUCUUCCUCACGUACAAGUAAACACAUGGCAUGUAAAACAAUUGAAUAAAUUUCUCAGUCUUAUUCUUUGACACUGUUUAAGAAUGACUGAUGGACUUCAAAGAAGGUGGAAAUGUAAUCAACUACAUUUCAGUUAGAACCUUGGCAUGAUAUGUGCUACAGCAGAAAUAAGCAUUUUAAUUUGACAAAACCUGGGACUGUGUAAUUCCUGCAAGUAGUCCACUAUGUGAGAUCUGUUAAAUGAUGACAGCCAUUAAAACUAUGCUUGUUUGUUUAUUUUUGUCUUUUUGAGACAGGGUCUUGAUAAGUGGUUUAGGCUGGCCUUACGCUCAUUUUGUAGCCUAGGCUGGUCUCAAAUUUGCAACAGUCCUCCUGCCUCAGCUUCCUGAGUGCAGAAGUAUACCUCCACACCCGGCUUAAAACUAAACUUUAAAAUAAAGCUCACUCAGAAGGAGGAGGAUCUAGAGUAUUAUAUAACAAAGUUUUCAAUUUGGGUUCUCAAAAAUUAAAGAAAUCUAUUCAACCACUCUGCUAUUGUUUUAAGAAAACAUUGGCAGGAGUGGAAAUAAUUUGUAGUCAAUAAAUAAAAGUGUUUUAAAUAUUGUUUAUGUUAAAAAUUUUUAAAUUUUAUGUCAAUGUACUAGUAAUAAUAAGCCAUGUAUAAAUAAAUAGGCAGAUAUUAAGAAGUCAUGCUCAGAAAUGAUAUUAAUAAUAAUGAGAGAUUUCAGAAGUUUAGAGACUACUGCUUUUAGAAAGACUGUUUUACACAUACUGUGGUACCAACAACCAAAUGCUAGCUGCUGUUUCAGUCAAGAACAGUUCGUUAAUAAGCUACAUUUUGGUUUACACUUUAAUUUGAGUACAAGUUUGAGUGUACAACUUAGCGGUUUAAGAACAAGACACUUUUGCACAGUUGAUAUUUUAUUCACUACUACCUGAUAAUUAUUUCAUUGUUGUUUGGUAGCUUAAUAGCACUUUUUUUUUUAUCCAUACCGGGGAUCGAACUCACGACCGCGCUUGCGAGGCAGGUGCUUAUGCCGCUGAGCUAAAUCCCCAGCCCCUACUUAAUAACAUCAUUUAAGAAGAGAAUUUGCAUUUGAAGGACUCUGUGUUUUAGAUACCUGAUGAACUCAGAUUCUGUUACAAGCUCUUGGCAUUGGCUUUCCGAAUACGUGUUAUGUUAGGGUAGGCUGUUCCCUGUUACAUAUUGCUUUCAUACAGCAGUGUUCUCAGUGUCUUUGAGUUUUAUCCUCUGAGGCUGAUUAAUACCCUAAAUGAGUUCUAGAAACCAGUUCAAAGUUACUAACAUCUGCUCUGUAGGCAUUUUGAUGACUGCACCCCAAACCACUGCUCACACUGCACAUGUGUCAUAAGCUGAGGACAAGAAGGGAAGAAUUCUCCAAUGAGUUCCAAUCAGUCUCACAGUCAGACACACUGUGAAUCCCCUCUGCCUUUCCAGUUAAGGGUGUGGCCUUUGCAGACCUAUAUGAAUUGUUUACCUAUCUACAAAGAGGCUUUCAACUGAGAAAGCAAAAGGAAAGCAUCGCAUAGUGCAAAGCCUCAAGUCUCAAAGCCAAUGCCUGAAUCUUUUUUUCCCUAAACAUUUCCAUAAUACUUGUCUUCCCCCUUGGCAUUGAAGAGAUGUCUUUUACUUUCUGUGUCAUAUAGUCACAAGAUAUUCAGUAAUAGAAUCCAUUGCUUGUGAAUGCUGAGCCAUCUAGUAACCACUGGAUGAACCAUGAGUGUUAUUUACAUGUGACAGUUUUUUGCAUAUUUAUUUACAUUUUGUCUCUCUUUAAGAAAUGGAGCCAGAAUCCACAGAUGUCAUUAUCCAUCUGUACACUUUUGUUUACUCCCCAGAAGCCAAGUAUAUUGCAUUUUAAAAGUCCUGGACAUUUGUUCCUAUCAAAAAUGACUUAGGAAACUCUGACCAUUCACAUUUACCCUCAGUGAAAGUGUCAGUCAAAGCUUGCUUCCUGGAGAGCUUUGAGAUUCUAGCACAAAAGCCAUUUUAUAAGCACAAGGUAUAAAAGCAUCAUUUAUAUUCAUUUGCUGCUGUGGCAUUUCUCCCUGGAAUCUUCCUCUUGUCUGUCAACAUUGGACGAAAGGACUGACCUCAUCUACAUUACAAAUAUUCUUUCAGUGGUCUGCAGAUAGGAUAGAUACAUGCUGCAUAGAGUAGGAAGAGAACCGUGUGUUCUUUCCUCAGAGAUCUCUGGCUUCUCUAUCCACAAAAAUGGUUGUAUCUAAUGGGCAUGCGUAUUAUGAAUUGCUUCAGCAAAACCUGAGUAUGGAAUCAAUAGCAUGCUUUGUGCAUCUUGGCUGAAAUGAAUGUUGAUUAUCUGAUUGCAGAGACCUAUGGGAGAGUGGCUGGAGGAAGACUCUGAGAAGUCAUUUAGAAUGCAUCUGCUCUGGGCAGAGGACAAUCUGUGCUGGCCUCCACUGUCAUGAGGAGGCAUUCAGAAUGGAGAAAUUUCUACCAAGGUGGCUCCUGUGACCUGUAGGCAGAUUCUUCUCAGAGACAGGGGAGACCCAGCUUUGUGUGGUCACACACAAAGACAUCAAAGGGACUUUCUGUCCCAGAGGAUGCCACAAGGGGUUUGCCACCUGGAUUAGUUGAAAUAGAGUCAAGUUCUUACAGGCUGUCAUGCUCACCUGGGACUGUUCUAGGACAUGGAGCAAACCCAGGGUUGUGUUACUGAGUGUCAGCAGUCCAUAUAAAUAAAUAGGGUUAGAGUGCUUGGAAACCAAGAAUGUUGCCAGAAAAGAGGGUAGCGCAAGAGCAGGAGACCCAUAUUUAUGGGUCCUUCCCAAAACCUCUCCCUGAGACCUCCUCAGGGUCUGUGAAUCAGCUGCUUCUUCUCUUUUUACUUUCUUCAAAUCUUGUCAUCACAAAGCAUUUCAAAUACAAACCUAAGUAGAACAGUAAAAUAAACACCCAUGUGUCCAUUGGCAUCCUUCUUUCCAUAGUUAUCCACCUACCUCUGUUCUUCAUUAUGGAAAUUAGCUCCUUGUUGAUUAUAUUGAAUCUAACCUCCUCCCCUGAUUGCAUUUCUUCUGGUCAUGCUCUUCAGUCCUGUCAGUCAUUGUCAUCAGUCAGCCUGUUGGGUUGAUCAGGAAAAGACACAGAUCUCUCGGAAUUCUUGAUUGGUUUGGGGAUAAAUGUUGGGACUGACCAAUAAGAUGUGCUUAAUUUAUUUGUUCAACAGUUAAUUAAGUUGUUCAACAGUUACUUAAGUUUUAGGUGCAGUGUUGGAUUGAUGAUAUCAUUAAGUUAUGAUCCCUGACUUUUAGGCCAGGCAAUGUAUAAGCUCAAUAGCAAGUACUGAAUCAUGAAAGGCGAGAUGUGAUCCCUCUGAAUGGAGGAUGAUUAGGAAGUGCUAUUGAGUCUGAUACCCUGAGAGAUGGCAAAGCAAAGAGACAGGGCAUCAGGGCAGCAGGGCAAGGGAUACAAAGGAAAAACACUGAAGUGUGAAAGUGGGAAUGGCAGUUGGGGGGUGGGGAGGCAGGAGAGCCAUCUAGAAUGCUGGCGCACACUGUGCAAGAGGCAUCAAGGUUGGAAGAAAUAGGCAAUGAGGCUCCUCCUAACUUAAUAACUAGACACUUCUCAUUUUGAAGCAAAGAAAUGCAAAACUAAUUGUAGAAGCAUGGUUGUUAGAAAGGAGAUCCAGAUCACAAUUUAGAAACUUUAGGAAACCAAGGGGCCUCAGUGAAAAUUGAGCAUCAGGAUAAUAAACCUAGCAGCUGCCCCACUGCAGGACAGUCUGGGUACACUAACCGCACAACACAUUCUCCUAAAGGUGCAUGUGAAGCUUGUUACCAUGUAACUGAACCCACAGUCCCUUUCUACCGCAUUCUGAAAUAGAAAAUUUGGGCCUUGCUGGUGAAGUAAAUACAUGGGCAGAAAAUUCCUACCAUUGCUGUCAUAUGAGGGGUAGCAUAGAAGCUGAGAAGCACUGGUAAAGUGUUCACAUUUUGUAAAUGAAACAGAUUCGUAACAUGAUUUUUCAAAAGAAUAAGAGAAUAAAUUUUUCAAAAAAAAUAAUGUAAGCACGUUUAUAAAAGAAAACUAAAACACUAACAAAAUGUGAAAAGCCAAGAAAAUUCAUUGUCCCACUACCUGAACAAUAUAAUCUUUAGUACUUUGGUGUUACAUAGUGAUUUUGGAACAUUUUCAGUACUGAAUGAGUCUAAUGGUUCAUUCCUGUCUCUCCUCCCAUAUCACAUUUGUUAACAAAAUUAGUCAAAAAUAUUUGUAGCUCUGUUGCUUUAAGAGUCACUUCUGUUUUGAACUCAGAUUUCAGAAGGGGUAUAGGGAAUUAUGUUGGUAUCAAGCAACAGUAUGAGUUUAUUCCUAGGUAAAUAUGAAACCCUGUGCUAACAUUCAUAAGGCCUGGAGAGGAUUAUAUACAUAUGGAGACCCACAUAACAUGUGCCUAAAUAUCAAAAAUUUUUAUAGAUAAGUGAAUUGUUAAAUAUAAUAUGUUCUAUUUUCUUUUCUUGGUAAAUACACUUUUAUAGCAGCUUUCCUUUGGAAACUAUUAGAUAACAUAAUGUUCUAUUCUCCUAUUGUUAUAAUGGUUAUUCCUUUCUAUGCUCCCUGGCACUUAUCAUGAGUCCAUCUCUUCACCCUAGGAUGUGGGUUGUGGCCAGAAAGAACCAGAGUAGGGAUGGUCCUCUUUUAGCUAUGAUCUGAGUAAAUCAUUCCUCAUUUUUCUAUGCAGGUGACUAUGUACUGAGCAUACAAAGGCAAGUAAAAGUAGUCUUGUGGGGCCCAGAAAUUUUAAAUAAAUGCCCUCUAAAAUCUCAGCUUGCAAAGUUGAUCCAGUCAGGAGGAGGUAACUAUGCAAAGAAUGGAAGACAAGAGAGUUCUAGCAGUGACAAAAGCAUGGGUAAAAUUCCAGCAGCAGAAGGGAGUUCACCAGAAUGAAGUACUAAGACAUGGAGAUGAGGCUCAGGCCUAAGUAUGUGGCAUCACAGGUGUACGAAGUUUUGCUAGGCAGGAGGUGAGCACCAAACCAGGAAAGGCUUUAUGGUCCUUCUUGAGAAGGUUUGUCUGCUGUGAAAUGCUUUCACCAAGGAGCCCCAUGGCAGAGUAAAUGAAGGUAGCCCAGACCUCUAGAUUGUUUCCAGCUGUGCCCACUGCCCCUGCUACUGCUGGCCAGGAGACUCCUGCCCUCAAGUGCAGCUGGAUGUCAUGCAGUGACCAGACCUCUCCAUACUGCCAGCCUGGCAAUGAGGCUCACAGAGACCCACACUCAGUUUGAACACAGACACUUCUCCCAAGGCCAAAUAGAAAUGGCUUUUGAAUUAUCCGCCAUUUGGCCAGAUUAUCUGCACCAUUGCUUCCGUCCAUUACUGAGGAGAGCCAGGAGGUGUCGGGACUGUCCUUAGUGUUCCAAGAUGACCUUGUGGAGAGCUGAUUACAGUCUGCGUACCAAUAAAGAUGAUGUUUAACUGUCA